AAGCUCGGCCCCGGCGAAACGGAAUCGUACUGGAGCCGUAAAGGGUAUUACGCCCUCAACUGCAUGGUCGUGUGCGACGCGAAGCUGUAUAUCCUGGCAAUUGACCCACGGUUUCCGGGAUCGUGCCACGAUUCUUUCGUCUGGAGCUAUUCUGCAUUUCGCCGCCGCCUCACUCGUGGCCUGUUACUUCAUGGAGAAGUGUUGCUUGGGGACUCUGGGUACCCGCUAGAGCCAUGGAUCAUGACUCCUGUGCCUGGUCACCCAAAUCGCCUCACGGCAGAGGGGCGCUAUAAUGAGG